GUGCAGCAGGCGAGAAUACUUUACAAUGUGCGAAAGCACGAUAAGGGAACUCUGAGUGCCUCCUAAGGAGGCUGUUCAGGUGUCUAAAAAGCACCUGAAGGAAGGGCUGGGUAAGACCGGUGCCAGCCGCCGCGGUAACACCGGCAGCCCCAAGUGGUAGCCACGUUUAUUGGGUCUAAAGCGUCCGUAGCCGGCUGGGUAAGUUCCUUGGGAAAUUUGGCUGCUUAACAGUCAAGCUUUCAGGGAAUACUGCCCGGCUUGGGACCGGGAGAGGUCAGAGGUAC
rnacentral:rRNA from 1 species